rnacentral:rRNA from 1 species
GACGAACGCUGGCGGCGUGCCUAAUACAUGCAAGUCGAACGAGUGGCGGACGGGUGAGUAACACGUGGGAACCUACCCGUCAGAGGGGGAUAACACUUGGAAACAGGUGCUAAUACCGCAUACUGGUGGAUGUACCCGUGGGGCAUUAGCUAGUUGGUGAGGUAACGGCUCACCAAGGCCACGAUGCAUAGCUGACCGUAGAGGUUGAUCGGCCACACUGGAACUUAGACACGGUCCAGACUCCUACGGGAGGCAGCAGUGGGGAAUAUUGCACAAUGGGCGCAAGCCUGAUGCAGCCAUGCCGCGUGUAUGAAGAAGGCCUUCGGGUUGUAAAGUACUUUCAGCGAGGAGGCGUUACUCGCAGAAGAAGCACCGGCUAACUCCGUGCCAGCAGCCGCGGUAAUAC